rnacentral:rRNA from 1 species
AUGUUGAAACAAAAAUGGCGCAUUCUAAAACAUUUGCCUAGCUACUCACCUAGUAAGCAAGCAAGGAUUAUCAUCGCUUGUAUGGCACUGCACAACUUCAUCAGAGAUAGUGAUUUGUAUGAUUAUCACUUUGCUAGAUGCAGUGAUGAUGACAACUACUAUCCUCCGGGCCAUGUGGUCAACACAACUGGAGGGAACUAUACGAGAGGUGCAAAUACUACCAUGGACACAACUCGUAACAUGAUUGUUGAUUUUGUGCUGGCAGCGAGAGAGUAG